rnacentral:rRNA from 1 species
AUUGAACGCUGGCGGCAGGCCUAACACAUGCAAGUCGAGCGGAUGAAGGGAGCUUGCUCCUGGAUUCAGCGGCGGACGGGUGAGUAAUGCCUAGGAAUCUGCCUGGUAGUGGGGGAUAACGUCCGGAAACGGGCGCUAAUACCGCAUACGUCCUGAGGUAGAAAGUGGGGAUCUUCGGACCUCACGCUAUCAGAUGAGCCUAGGUCGGAUUAGCUAGUUGGUGGGGUAAAGGCCUACCAAGGCGACGAUCCGUAACUGGUCUGAGAGGAUGAUCAGUCACACUGGAACUGAGACACGGUCCAGACUCCUACGGGAGGCAGCAGUGGGGAAUAUUGGACAAUGGGCGAAAGCCUGAUCCAGCCAUGCCGCGUGUGUGAAGAAGGUCUUCGGAUUGUAAAGCACUUUAAGUUGGGAGGAAGGGCAGUAAGUUAAUACCUUGCUGUUUUGACGUUACCAACAGAAUAAGCACCGGCUAACUUCGUG